UACAGAGGGUGCGAACGUUGCUCGGAAUUACUGGGCGUAAAGCGCGUGUAGGCGGUCCGUUAAGUUGGUAGUGAAAUCCCAUGGCUCAACCAUGGAAGUGCUGCCAAAACUGGCGGGCUGGAGUGCCGGAGAGGGUGGCGGAAUUCCCAGUGUAGAGGUGAAAUUCGUAGAUAUUGGGAAGAACACCGGUGGCGAAGGCGGCGACCUGGUCCGUUACUGACGCUGAGGCGCGACAGCGUGGGGAGCAAACAGG
rnacentral:rRNA from 1 species